UUUAGGGUGGCAGAAAAGUGCAUUGGAUUUAAGCCCCAAUUAUAGAAUAAUUAAUAAUUCUCCCUAAAA
rnacentral:tRNA from 1 species